CUUGACAUCCCGGAGACCCUUAGGAACUAGGGGUGCUUCCAUCUGGAAGAAUCUGGAGACAGUGCUGCAUGGCUGUCGUCAGCUCGUGUCGUGAGAUGUUGGGUUAAGUCCCGCAACGAGCGCAACCCUUGCCUUUAGUUGCCAGCAGUUCGGCUGGGCACUCUAAAGGGACUGCCGGUGUUAAACCGGAGGAAGGUGGAGAUGACGUCAAGUCCUCAUAGCCUUUAUGACCAGGGCUACACACGUACUACAAUGGCCGAUACAAAGGGCAGCGACACUGCGAGGUGAAGCCAAUCCCGUAAAAUCGGUCUCAGUCCGGAUUGGAGUCUGCAACUCGACUCCAUGAAGUUGGAAUCGCUAGUAAUCGUGGAUCAGCAUGCCACGGUGAAUACGUUCCCGGGCCUU
rnacentral:rRNA from 1 species